rnacentral:rRNA from 1 species
UACGUAGGGGGCGAGCGUUGUCCGGAUUCAUUGGGCGUAAAGAGCUCGUAGGCGGUUUGUUGCGUCGGCUGUGAAAUCCCGAGGCUCAACCUCGGGUCUGCAGUCGAUACGAGCAAACUAGAGUGUUGCAGGGGAGACUGGAAUUCCUGGUGUAGCGGUGAAAUGCGCAGAUAUCAGGAGGAACACCAAUAGCGAAGGCAGCUCGCUGGGACGGUAUUGACGCUAAGGCGCGAAAGCGUGGGGAGCAAACAGG